CUGGAUGACUGCAGGUGGUAUCUGCCAUUUGAGGAAAGUCCAUGCUCGCGCUCUCUGUGAUGGGAGCAGUGUUUGCGCCAGGUUAAUCAAUAAGCCUGGGCCGGGAGGAGUCCCGGACGGCCGAGAAGAAUCUAAACGAAAGCAUGAUGUCUUCUCUGUAAAAGCCCCACAGUGACGAAGCUUCCGGAAACGGAAGAAAUGCAACGUUGGGAAGCCCCACAAGCGAGAAACCUAAAUUUCGGUAAGGGAAGUUCAAGGCGGGAAACGAACUGCUGCGGACAGGUCAUAGACCUAGAUAAAUUGUCAUCCUCGACAAAACAUGGCUUACAG
rnacentral:RNase_P_RNA from 1 species